UAGAUCUUCCAAAACAAACAAACAAGCAAAAAAGAAAAUGGAAGCAGAAGAGGACAAAGAAGAAGAAAUGUAGAGAAAGGGGGAGAAAAAGGAGAAGAAGAAGAAGGAUGAGACAUGUAUGCCUGAGUGUAUACAUGGAAUAUAAAGAGAAUACGGUAACACCAUCUAGUUGGCAGAAGACACAGGUGGAGAGCAGCGGCACCUCUGAUUUAGCCAUAGUCAAAGUUGG
rnacentral:lncRNA from 1 species